UACGUAGGGGGCGAGCGUUGUCCGGAUUUACUGGGCGUAAAGCGCGUGUAGGCGGCGGCUUAAGUCGGGUGUGAAAGCCCGGGGCUCAACCCCGGGAUGCCGCUCGAGACUGGGUCGCUUGAGGACGGAAGAGGGGCGUGGAAUUCCUGGUGUAGCGGUGAAAUGCGUAGAUAUCAGGAGGAACACCGGUGGUGUAGACGGCUAUCUGGACCGUAACUGACGCUGAGGCACGAAAGCGUGGGUAGCAAACAGG
rnacentral:rRNA from 1 species